rnacentral:rRNA from 1 species
GACGAACGCUGGCGGCGUGCUUAACACAUGCAAGUCGAACGGAAAGGCCCUGCUUUUGUGGGGUGCUCGAGUGGCGAACGGGUGAGUAACACGUGAGUAACCUGCCCUUGACUUUGGGAUAACUUCAGGAAACUGGUGCUAAUACCGGAUAGGCGCUCCUGCUGCAUGUUGUGGGUUGGAAAGUUUCGGCGGUUGGGGAUGGACUCGCGGCUUAUCAGCUUGUUUGUGGGGUAGUGGCUUACCAAGGCUUUGACGGGUAGCCGGCCUGUGAGGGUUACCGGCGAAAUUGGGACUGAGAUACGGACCAGAAGCCAACGGGAGGCAGCAGUGGGGAAUAUUGCACAAUGGGAGGAAGCCUGAUGCAGCAAAGCCGCGUGCGGGAUGACGGCCUUCGGGUUGUAAACAGAUUUAGACUGUGACGAAGAGUGAGUGACGGUAAUGGGUAAAGAAGCACCGGCUAACUACGUG